rnacentral:rRNA from 1 species
UACAGAGGGUGCAAGCGUUAAUCGGAAUUACUGGGCUUAAAGCGCGCGUAGGUGGUUUGUUAAGUUGGAUGUGAAAUCCCCGGGCUCAACCUGGGAACUGCAUCCAAAACUGGCAAGCUAGAGUAUGGUAGAGGGUGGUGGAAUUUCCUGUGUAGCGGUGAAAUGCGUAGAUAUAGGAAGGAACACCAGUGGCGAAGGCGACCACCUGGACUGAUACUGACACUGAGGCACGAGAGCAUGGGUAGCGAACAGG